rnacentral:rRNA from 1 species
UACGUAGGGGGCAAGCGUUGUCCGGAUUUACUGGGCGUAAAGAGCGUGUAGGCGGCCAGGUAGGUCUGCUGUGAAAACUCGAGGCUUAACCUCGAGCUGUCGGCGGAAACCAUCUGGCUAGAGUCCGGAAGAGGAGAAUGGAAUUCCCGGUGUAGCGGUGAAAUGCGCAGAUAUCGGGAAGAACACCUAUGGCGAAGGCAGCUCGCUGGGACGUUACUGACGCUGAGACGCGAAAGCGUGGGGAGCAAACAGG